GACGGAGGGUGCAAGCGUUGUUCGGAAUUACUGGGCGUAAAGCGCGUGUAGGCGGUUCGAUAAGUCGGGUGUGAAAGCCCGAGGCUCAACCUCGGAAUUGCAUUCGAAACUGUCGGGCUUGAGUACGGGAGAGGGAAGUGGAAUUCCUGGUGUAGAGGUGAAAUUCGUAGAUAUCAGGAGGAACACCGGUGGCGAAGGCGGCUUCCUGGACCGAUACUGACGCUGAGACGCGAAAGCGUGGGGAGCAAACAGG
rnacentral:rRNA from 1 species